UCCCCUAACGUUGCGAGAGGAGCGUCAUGGAGGAAGUCUUCGCCGUCAUGAACUUACAACAACAACAGCCCCACGCUGCCGCUGCAACUCUUCAUGCUGACGAUGUUGACGAUCAGAUAAUGGGUCAAGCCGCAUUAGAAGUUGAAGCCAUGGAUAACACAUCCCAAGCUGAAGCCGUGGAUAACACAUCACAUCCCAGAAACGGAGCGGAUGUUGGUGGUGGUGAGGUGGGGGAUGUUCCAGAAACUCCCAAGUCUACCGGUGAACAUAUCACGGGCGAGUCAUUGGGCAACAACAACCGCGGCGCGUUGGGAGGUGUCGGUAAAAUGGGGCGGCGUGUGCUGAGGGAAGGAUGUGAUACCUCCAUUACCAGUGUCUCAUCUGAAGAACGACCCACCGGACAGCGUAACGCAUAUCCACGGCAACAACAACAGACACGCUUCGGUGAUGGUGUGUCUUGACUCUCCGUCGGGCGCUGAAUCGCGAGAGCGGCGGCGAAGUCGUCUGCAGCAAAAAGAUCAUGAAAUGCGUCAAUCACGACUGGAAAAAAAAAUGCAGCAUAUGGCGGAAGUGUUGCGGCCGCGCCCACUUCUGACUUGACAUACCCCGCUUGACCUUUCUUGGAAGUGUCAUAGGCUAGGUGGGUGGUGGGGAAGUUACUAAAAUCCAUUAUGGAUUUUAUGAGUGGAAGCGAAUAAAAUUCACUAAUGUCUUGGAAGUUAGAGAUGCAUAUGGUGGCCGAAUCUGUGAGAGUCCUAUAUUUAGUGCUUAACAAUCUUUUUUUUAUAUAUGUACUCGCUCUGUGUGUAUUAUUUUUUAUAUAUAUAUAU